UCCUACGGGGGGCAGCAGUGAGGAAUAUUGGUCAAUGGUCGGGAGACUGAACCAGCCAAGCCGCGUGAGGGAUGAAGGUACAGAGUAUCGUAAACCUCUUUUGUCAGGGAACAAAGGCGGGGACGCGUCCCCGGAUGAGUGUACCUGAAGAAAAAGCAUCGGCUAACUCCGUGCCAGCAGCCGCAGUAAUACGGAGGAUGCGAGCGUUAUCCGGAUUUAUUGGGUUUAAAGGGUGCGCAGGCGGAGGUGCAAGUCAGCGGUCAAAUUGCGGGGCUCAACCCCGUACUGCCGUUGAAACUGCAUCC
rnacentral:rRNA from 1 species